GUAGGAUUCAGCUCCAGCACCAUGUCUCCCUGUCUUGAUGAUAAUGGACGCAACCUCUGAAACUCUGUCACAGAGGAUAAUCAGGACAGCAAAGAGUUCUGGCAGCCACAUGAAGACUGUUUUUAGGGAUGGAGAGAGCAGCUCUGGCAAAUAUUGCCAACAUCUCAAGGAAGCCUCUGAGUGCAGUGAAGAUAUCCAGAAGCAUGAACAUGAGGAUUGUGUGCAGAUGCAAAUGCAGAAUCCAUCCUCUGGCCAGGGAGGAAGAGACCAGAGACACUGAGAGCUGGAGAACCAGGCCAACCUCUUGCUGUAUCUUAUCUGUCCUAUACAAGAUAUUUUGUAAAAUUAUUGUUUAUGUUAACUUAUA
rnacentral:lncRNA from 1 species